rnacentral:rRNA from 1 species
UACGUAGGGGGCAAGCGUUGUCCGGAAUUAUUGGGCGUAAAGAGCUCGUAGGCGGUCUGUCGCGUCGGCUGUGAAAUCCCGAGGCUCAACCUCGGGUCUGCAGUCGAUACGGGCAAACUAGAGUAUUGCAGGGGAGACUGGAAUUCCUGGUGUAGCGGUGAAAUGCGCAGAUAUCAGGAAGAACACCCGUGGCGAAAGCGGCUCUCUGGAACGGUACUGACGCUGAGACGCGAAAGCGUGGGGAGCGAACAGG